ACACAGCUCAAAUGUGAUAUCGCCAUGAAUUGAUAUGCAAUAUUAAAUCUUGGCAACACUUACCAGAUUUGUUUUCGCACCAUCCGCACGCGACGGCACCGACGCACCAUUUUUGUUUGAAUUUUUCCGUCUUUGUGUUCAGGUCAAGAGCAAUUCAUCAAAUACUACACCGGAAAACCUAUUAACAGGCGAGAUUGCCGGUUCUGCAAUCAGGAACCGGGUUUAUCCGCAGUUUUCAUUUGCGUUUCGCUGCGAGCCACUGGAAACCGAUUUCUGAUUUGCGUCGGCAAAACUAGGCAAGCGAAGUCCAGGACCGGGUCAACCAUCCAAUUUUGAACUCCGCCAGAAUACGCGUAUGAAGUCUUUCUUGAUCACCGACCUCUGUGUCGCUCGGUUCUAUACUUUAAAAGGUGUAUCAAGGUAAUUCAUCUGGAACUGACCUGUGAGUUUCAAGUGAAAAUCAAUACACCUGUCGCCAAUUCACUGGAUCAGAGGUUCGUGUUCACGAUGACUCGCUGUCCCUGUCAUUACAGUUGCUAGCUACACAUGGACAGCAAAUCAAACGAGCUGAUAGCGGCUACUCAGAAGAACCUCAGUCUAGGCUUCCAGUCGGCGAACAAUACCACCGGUCAGGGAACUUGUCUGAAAAGCUGAAAUAUGGAACUGAAAAGAGGAACUUGAUGUAGCUGUUCAUGAUGGUCACAGCUCUUGAAGUCAAGCAUCCCAAUCUGUCGAAGAGUACCAUGGUGCUUCAGCUUUAUGGAAAUAACUCAAUCUGUAGGCAAUCUUGUGCAAGUCCUGUGAGAUAGGUUUUAGAAAAAAAUUAUGUAUGUUAUGAGCAAAUUUAAAAAAUAAUAAAAUAUCAUGAUUAACAAACUCAAAAGAUAACAUGAAAUCACCAGAAUA